GCGAGCCGUAUACGCUGAAAGGUGUACGUACGGUUCUGAGGGAGGAGAAAUAAAACCUUCUAUCAUUUAAAGAAAGGCGUAUUUUUUCUACCCUAC
rnacentral:ncRNA from 1 species